GGCCGGUUAGCUCAGUUGGUUAGAGUGUGGUGCUCUUAACAACAAGUUUGCGGGUUCGAUCCCCACAUGGGCCA